rnacentral:rRNA from 1 species
GAUGAACGCUGGCGGCGUGCCUAAUACAUGCAAGUCGAGCGAACAGACGAGGAGCUUGCUCCUCUGACGUUAGCGGCGGACGGGUGAGUAACACGUGGAUAACCUACCUAUAAGACUGGGAUAACUUCGGGAAACCGGAGCUAAUACCGGAUAUAUAUUGAACCGCAUGGUUCAAUAGUGAAAGACGGUUUUGCUGUCACUUAUAGAUGGAUCCGCGCCGCAUUAGCUAGUUGGUAAGGUAACGGCUUACCAAGGCAACGAUGCGUAGCCGACCUGAGAGGGUGAUCGGCCACACUGGAACUGAGACACGGUCCAGACUCCUACGGGAGGCAGCAGUAGGGAAUCUUCCGCAAUGGGCGAAAGCCUGACGGAACAACGCCGCGUGAGUGAUGAAGGUCUUCGGAUCGUAAAACUCUGUUAUUAGGGAAGAACAAAUGUGUAAGUAACUAUGCACGUCUUGACGGUACCUAAUCAGAAAGCCACGGCUAACUACGUG